UACGUAGGGGGCAAGCGUUGUCCGGAUUUAUUGGGCGUAAAGAGCGUGUAGGCGGUUUGGUAGGUCCGCUGUGAAAACUCGAGGCUCAACCUCGAGACGCCGGUGGAAACCAUCAGGCUAGAGUCCGGAAGAGGAGAGUGGAAUUCCUGGUGUAGCGGUAAAAUGCGCAGAUAUCAGGAAGAACACCCGUGGCUAAGGCGGCUCUCUAGUACGGUACUGACGCUGAGACGCGAAAGCGUGGGGAGCGAACAGG
rnacentral:rRNA from 1 species